GACGAACGCUGGCGGCGUGCUUAACACAUGCAAGUCGAGCGGUAAGGCCCUUUCGGGGUACGACGAGCGGCGAACGGGUAGAGUAACACGUGGGUGACCUGCCCUCCAGCUCUGGGAGUAAGCCUGGGAAACCGGGGUACUAAUACCGGAUAUGACUCCAUGACGCAUGUUGUGGGGUGGAAAGCCUUGUGCGGCUGAGGAUGGGCCCGCGGCCUAUCAGCUUGUUGGUGGGGUGAUGGCCUACCAAGGCGACGACGGGUAGCCGGCCUGAGAGGGCGACCGGCCACACUGGGACUGAGACACGGCCCAGACUCCUACGGGAGGCAGCAGUGGGGAAUCUUGCGCAAUGGGCGAAAGCCUGACGCAGCGACGCCGCGUGAGGGAUGACGGCCU
rnacentral:rRNA from 1 species